UAAUAGCGUAUAUUAAAGUUGUUGCAGUUAAAAAGCUCGUAGUCGGAUGUCGGGCUCGGGCAGGCUGUCGGCUUCGGUCGGACGGCAGGCUCGGGUCUUUCUGCCUGAGGAUCCAUCUCAUUCACUUGGGGUGGGGACGCAGGCCGUUUACUUUGAAAAAAUUAGAGUGUUCAAAGCAGGCCUACGCUUGAAUACAUUAGCAUGGAAUAAUGGAAUAGGACUUUGGUGCUAUUUUGUUGGUUUAUGGGACCGAAGUAAUGAUUAACAGGGACAGUUGGGGCCGUUUAUAUUUCGUUGUCAGAGGUGAAAUUCUUGGAUUUACGAAAGAUAAACUUCUGCGAAAGCAUUCGGCAAGGAUGUUUUCAUUG
rnacentral:rRNA from 1 species